GAUGAACGCUAGCGGCAGGCUUAAUACAUGCAAGUCGUGGGGCAGCAUGACUGUAGCAAUACAGUUGAUGGCGACCGGCAAACGGGUGCGGAACACGUACACAACCUUCCUUUAAGUGGGGAAUAGCCCAGGGAAACUUGGAUUAAUACCCCGUAACAUAUAGAAGUGGCAUCACUUUUAUAUUAUAGCUACGGCGCUUAGAGAUGGGUGUGAGGCUGAUUAGGUAGUUGGCGGGGUAACGGCCCACCAAGCCGACGAUCAGUAACUGGUGUGAGAGCACGACCAGUCACACGGGCACUGAGACACGGGCCCGACUCCUACGGGAGGCAGCAGUAAGGAAUAUUGGUCAAUGGACGCAAGUCUGAACCAGCCAUGCCGCGUGGAGGAUGAAGGUCCUCUGGAUUGUAAACUUCUUUUAUCUGGGAAGAAAAAGGACUUUUCUAAGUCAACUGACGGUACCAGAUGAAUAAGCACCGGCUAACUCCGUGCCAGCAGCCGCGGUAAUAC
rnacentral:rRNA from 1 species